GAAGGGGUGGACAAACUGCUUUCAUGUGAAUGUUGCCUUGUUGCUCGUUUCUAGAUGUCUUGCUUUGGACAGCUUCGACGCACGUUUCCAACUCUGUAGGCACAGAUUUUUGUCUUCUUCUCUUUGUUGCUUAGGCAUUGGUUAUUAAAGCUUAGUAUUGCUUGGAUUUGAAGAGUAUAGGGAGUAAAAAAGGUUCGUGAGAAAUGACCAUAUUACCAUGCCC
rnacentral:lncRNA from 1 species